CUGGUGGCUGUUUUGCUAUGCAGUGGAUGCUUAUCUGGUGAUCCGGAGAUCGGCAGGACUGAG
rnacentral:sRNA from 1 species